GACGAACGCUGGCGGCGUGCUUAACACAUGCAAGUCGAGCGAUGAAACUACUUCGGUAGUGAAUUAGCGGCGAACGGGUGAGGAACACGUGAGGAAUCUGCCUUCAACACUGGGAUAACUCCGGGAAACCGGGGCUAAUACCGGAUACGAGCUCUGAUCGCAUGAUCGGGGCUGGAAAGUUUUUCGGUUGAAGAUGACCUCGCGGCCUAUCAGCUUGUUGGUGAGGUAAUGGCUCACCAAGGCGACGACGGGUAGCCGGCCUGAGAGGGCGACCGGCCACACUGGGACUGAGACACGGCCCAGACUCCUACGGGAGGCAGCAGUGGGGAAUAUUGGGCAAUGGAGGAAACUCUGACCCAGCGACGCCGCGUGCGGGAUGAAGGCCUUCGGGUUGUAAACCGCUUUCAGCAGGGAAUAAGCGCAAGUGAAGGUACCUGCAGAAGAAGCACCAGCUAACUAUGUGCCAGCAGCCGCGGUAAUACAUAGGGUGCAAGCGUUGUCCGGAAUUAUUGGGCGUAAAGAGCUCGUAGGUGGUUUGUUACGUCGGUUGUGAAAUUCAGGGGCUCAACCCCUGACUUGCAGCCGAUACGGGCAAGCUAGAGUUUGGUAGGGGAGACUGGAAUUCCUGGUGUAGCGGUGGAAUGCGCAGAUAUCAGGAGGAACACCGAUGGCGAAGGCAGGUCUCUGGGCCAAUACUGACACUGAGGAGCGAAAGCGUGGGGAGCGAACAGGAUUAGAUACCCUGGUAGUCCACGCCGUAAACGAUGGGCGCUAGUUGUGCGAACCUUCCACGGUUUGUGCGACGCAGCUAACGCAUUAAGCGCCCCGCCUGGGGAGUACGAUCGCAAGAUUAAAACUCAAAGGAAUUGACGGGGCCCCGCACAAGCAGCGGAGCAUGCAGCUUAAUUCGACGCAACGCGAAGAACCUUACCAAGGCUUGACAUAUACAGGAAUAUGGCAGAGA
rnacentral:rRNA from 1 species